CCUACAUAUCAUCAGUGCCGGGCUGGAGGCCUGAAGGCAAACACCGCUAUGAUCCUUCACCUCACAGAUGAAAACCAAAGACCCAAAAGAGGAAUUCCAGGCCCUAGAUGCUCGUCCCAUCUCUAAAUUAGUGAAUCUGGUCC
rnacentral:lncRNA from 14 species